UUGGGCAUGACAUGGCAAUUAUUUUUUUAUUACUAUUCUUACAUUUUGCCCUCGCCGUCCUACACAAGUAGAUGGAUGAUUAACUGGGUUCAGGGAUCUGUGGCACAGAUUCAUUUGAGAGCAGAUUAAUUUAUUCUCUCUUGGGCUCUCAUUGGCUGUUUCUUGUCUCUGUACGUGCAACUAUUCCAACAUUAUUCAGUGCCAAGAAAAUCAAACAUGCUUGAAAAUAUUGGAACCUUUGCAGACUGAGAAAAUUACAUCGCUGAACUGUUGGAUGAUUGCACCAUGGGAGAUUGCAACAAGUAGUCACUGAGCUGGGGGGUGUAGUCACUGAGCAACCAGUUUGUUCAUUGACCAGGAAAUAGGGGCUAAAAUAAAAAAAGGCUGAGAAGUAGGGUGAAUACAGGUCUAGAACAGAGCUGCUUAAGAAGUAAACAGUGGUAAAAGUGCAACUAGAGAGGUAAAGUUUGUCUUGACAAAGCUGGUCUGAAAGUUUAAAAUAGUUAACAGUUUGAAAUCUGAAGCCAAUAUGUCUAGAGUUGGAUAGGUGUAGAGGGUGCCAAAACCUUUACAGCUGGGCGGACAGGGUGCCAAUACUUUUUGAGUUAGACGGAUAGGGUGCCAAUACUUUAACAGCCAGAAAUUUUGUAUGCAAGUUAAUGGGAAUUUUGGCCAAUGUGAGUUUGUGUAAUAGCAAUUAGAAAUUCCGAUCACUUCCGAACAAAAGACAUAGCAACUUGAGACAAAACAGGCUGAAGUUGUAGAGUUGGGUGCAUGUAGCUUGAAAGCUCUAGGAAGAGUAACAACUGAAAAUUGUGGGCUUCAGAAUAAUAGUAGUAAUAAUAAUUAUAAUAAGGCAACAUAAUUACAUCAGACCAGAAAGAAGUGUGAGAUCAGACAGAGCCACAAUGGAUCCUGAUUGGUUGGCAUAAGCUCUUCUACUAUGUAGUCUUAUGAACAACUCUCUUAGUAAGAAGUUUCUAUUUCACCCCUUCUAACUUCCAGGGGUUGUGAAAAUCACAACUUGUCCACCUUCCAAUAAAGUCACGUGCUGAUGUGUGAAGCAACAUUUGCAAUAAAUGCCACCGUUCUACAACCAUCUUUCUAUUGCUUUUUCUCAUCUCAUACACACACUGGUUGGACCACUGGAGCUACAAGUAUCCUGUUCUCCAAAGCUGACUCCUAUCUCCUAACUUCUCUUUUACCAUGGAGUAAAGGAGCAGAUCCAGAGGGCUCACAGGCAUAGAGUGUUGUGGUGAACUGCUGCUCCAGCUGAUCGCUCUCUGUGGCUCCCUGCAAUCUGCCCUACAGCUGCUACAAUUACCCUCGGAGAGCAAAUCUUAACUGGUUACCUCUCACUAAACACAGGGCUUCUCUCUGUUUUCCUCCUCUAGGCUUCUUC